UUCCUGUAGUUAAGAUUUAUUUUAACGGUAGCUUUUCGAGCUGUAAA
rnacentral:tRNA from 1 species